CUCUAACGGCGCACUGACGCAACGGACUUCCGGCGCUUCCCAGUAGGUAACAUGGCCGCGCCCAGGUGGCCCCAGCCCGCGGAGGUGGCCAUGUUUGCUGACGUAUUGGGGCCAAAAGGCAGAAUUGCCUCAUUUCCUAGCACUUCUACACUGGCAGAAAAUGUGUAGCGUGAAAACGGGUCGGUAUCCAGGGACUUAGGGCCGACUGAACUGCGAUCAGCGGCUGUCCAGCAUAGUAGUAUGUCUGCCCAGUAGGAGGUCGGGUGCCCCUGAGCAGAGAGCCGCCUCUGGAAAGGAACAGUGACGUCCCUAAGCAGACACCCCUGGAAGCGUGGGCGGGAAAGGGCUCGCGGGAAGCGGCUUUUGAGAACAGAAAAAGGCUGAGACGAGCUGGCAGAGUGGGGCGGCCACGCCCCAGGGGUGCAGCUCGCGGGAGGCCUGGAGCCCAUGGAAGGAGUCGGGGAGCAGGGUCCGGAGGUGUGACACGAGUGUCCAGACCAUGCAGUGGAACAGACUUUUCAGCUAUGUUGUUGGGAUACUCGGAUACCUACAUGCAAAAAACAAGUAAGAAGGUGAUGACUCCCAAGCCAGCCUCCUGGAGAAUGACAGACUGUCAAUACUGCCCCUAUCCAUUCCACUUGAGGCCUAGAUAUGUGAUCAAGACCAUCUAGGCUACUCAGGCCAGGGCAGGCCAGCUCAAACCAAGCAAUCCACACUUCGACCUGCACAGUUAAACUAAUGAUGUUCCUUAUCUGUAGCCUUCGAGUUUGUUGUGUUAGCCAAGUAAAGUUUGUAUAAGGGGGCAAAUACCAACUUUUAUGAAUAUAAAUAUACACAUGCAGGUGAUUAUGUAAAUCAUGGACAUCUCAGGAAAACAAUCUGCAGACUUAAUACAGAAUUUCAACAUAUAUAAGUAAGGGUGAUAUUUAUUUAUGAGGAAAAAACAGAACAUUCUACAAAAGAGCAAAUCUACUACUAUACACACACAUGCAUGCACACAUGCAUGCAUGCAAUUCAAAAUUCUCAGUAUAAAACAAUUUGGUUUUCUCUUUGGUUUAAGACCUGAAUCAGAGGAAUAUCAAAGGUUGGCAUAUUUGUACUGCAAUCAGUUCUCAAUUAUUUGAAUUUGUUAUCUCCAGUUUGAUCUAAAAUUCAGCUAUGUUCCUCCCACAGGCAAUCUCUCCUCCCCUGCUCUGCACUCUACACAGUGCUUUGUGUUAUGGAAGCUUGGAUCUGCCGAGCACCUAUAAUGUGUUUCCAUGUGCAUACUAUACAAGAUGAAAAAAUAUUUAAAUAUUGACCCCAAAAAUAUAUAUACUUGCAAAUAAACAGUGAAAAAUCAUUAAUACUCAGGAAACAAUGCUAUCAAUAAAAUGAAUUGAGUGGGUUUCAAUGAUAGAAAUAGCAAUGACUUAAAGUCAAUGAUAAAUAUAUUUAAAGACCUAAAGAAAACCAUGUUGAAUGGUUUAAAGGAAAAUAAGAGAAUAAUGGCUUGAUAGAAAAUCUUGGUAAGACAGAAAAUGUAAUGAAGAACCCAAUAGAAAUGUUAGUGCUGAAAUAGCAGAGUCUACAAAAGCAAAUGAGUUUAGCAGUACGAUAGGGUGCAAGUUCAACACACAGAUGAAACCAUGAAUAUAGGAGCAUUUACAAUGGCUCUAUAAAUGAUACCUUCAGGUAAACUUCUAACAACAUACAGGAUACGCAUAAGCUAAAAAGCUUUUUAUUUAUUUAUUUUUUAAGAAGAAUUAAUCAAAUGGCAAGACAGCAUUGUUGGGAGCUGCUCUGGACAGAGCUAUGUACACACCUUUAAGUCCUGAGUAAAGGAGUCCUGAACAGUUAUUGCACUCUGCAAUACAUUGGGCUUUUGACCCCUCUUGGAUAAUGAGGCUGGCUCCAGGAGUAGGUGUCACCUGGUGGGGUUGAGAUACACUCACCUGUUCCUUUGAAAUCCUACCCCUUUGCCCUUUUAGGGAAAGAAUGUUCCAUGGGUCCUCCCCUUGUGUGUCCCCUGUGUAAGAAUAAAUAAUUCCAGUGGUUCUCUCUCUUUCCACUGACCCCUAAGGUCAGGAGCCAUCCCUGGAUUUUGAAAAGGUACUUCUGUGUAUUUGCGUGUUUUCUUCGACGUUUUUUUAAGUUAUUGGAGUAGUCAGGUUUUGUGGCCCCAGCAUAGGUUGCCAGCUUGGAUAGAUGGCAGUACAGCAUGUCAGAAGACUCGGUGCAAUAAAGAUGCCAGAUGAACCCACUUUCGUUUAAUAUAUUGAAUGCAAUUUCAGUAAAACAGAAAAAAAAUAAAUAUACACAAGCAUAUUUUAAAGUUUAUCUGGAGGGCUCAUUGCCGCCGGCUGCCAAGGCUUCAGGGGCCAGUGCAAGCGCCCUGCAGCACCUGGCGGAGCAGCUCAAGCUGGAGGCCACCUGGAGGACCAGGGUCUCUCAGGCUGCUGCAGAGCUGCAGCAGUACCACCUGCAGAAUACCUGCAAGGAUGCUCUGCUCGCCAGUGUUCCAGCCAAGAGCAACCCCUUCAUAGAGCCCAGAUCCUGCGCUUUUUCUUUAGGCAAAUGACUGGGGUAUUUCAGACCUUCCUGUGUCCUGCUCUUACAGACAAAAUUCUACAGUAAUUAAUGAUUUUCUACAAAUAUGGAAACUGAGUGAAGAAAUAGAAUUGCUUCAAAUAAUAAUUGCCUGAUUCUCCUGGUGAAGUGCUUUGUACUAAGAUAAACAACUUUAUCACCAAAUAUACCAACAUACACUGCUUUAAUGAGUGAGUUGUUGGUGUUGCUAUACUUAGGAUAUCAUGUAUGUUUUAUUUACUGGAUGUUUACAUUUUAGGAAGGAAAACACUUGUAAAAAACAAAUGGAAUAUUUGUAAUUUGUUGUUCCUAAGAUUUUUAUACUAUAAUAAAAUUUGUUCUAUCAUAAAUCUGCAAUUACUAAAUGAAGACAAGAAAGCAUAAAAUUGGGAGAAGGAAUAGACUUUACUAAUCAAAUGAUGCCUUGAUUCUUUCUAAAUGAGAAUAUUGUUUUAUUUUUAACACUAAACACAAAUGUUUCAUAGUAAACUUGUUUAGAAAGAUUUAUGUUAUGAUGUAUAUUAGGUUGCCCAAUCUGUGUAUGAAACAGAUUUGAUCUCUUUUUAAGUUCCUUUAUAGUUGUGAUUGCACUUUUAAAAAGAUACAUUUAAACAUUUAAAAAAUGUUUAAAAUAUGGCGUACAUACAGAACAUUACAAAUGGUUAAAAACAAAGAAAAGUGAAAUAGUUAUGACCUAAAAGAAUUCUUCAUGUCAUGUCUUUACUUUCAUAGUGUGUCUUUAAUUUGGGAUACCUUGAGAAGGAUACUUUGUGUUUGUAAUAGUCUUCAAAGAUCUUGGGUAUAAAUUCUGCUUAAUUAUUAUGGAUGUAAUGCUCUCCUCUAUUGUGAUGUAUGUAAGAAAUAAUUUAAAAUUAAUUUUAAAAAAAAGAAUUAGAAAAAAAUUAAAUAAAUUCUGCUUAAUUAAAAAGUAUGGAAAGACAAAGAAACUGGAAUAAAUAAAACUAUUUUCAAAGAAAUUUAGAGCCAGAAGAAUAUGAUUCCUUGGUUUUAUGACUAUCACUGCUAUAGUGUGUUAUUGGUGAAACAACAAAUUCAUCAAUGGAAGAGUCAAGAAGUAGUCAAAAAUAUAACCGCUUUUUACAAAUGUGCAAGGUCAAUUUAAUGAGAAAAAAACAGUAAUUUCAAAAUAAUGUUGGACCAACUGUAUAAUCAUAGGCAAAGAAAAUAAAACCUAACCCUCAACUCCUAUCCAAAAACUAACUCCAAAUGGAUCAUAGUUUAAAAAUAUUAAAAGCAAAACUACAUUUGUAAAGUAUAGGAGAAAAUAAUCAUGAUACAGCUAGGUAAUGAAUUUUUAGAUAUGACAUCAAAAUUAUAACUCAUAAAAGAAAAAAUGUAAUUUGGAUUUAAUAUUAUUUAUAUUCCUGAGGAGGGAAAAAUGAUACACCACAUCUGGGGAAAAUAUUUGUAAGUGAUAUGUCCAAGAAAAUUGUACCUAGCAUACAAACCUCUUUAAAAACAUCUCUAAAUGUCAUACUAGGGAAACAAACAUCCUAAUUAAAAAUGGACAAAUGAUUUGAGUAAACACUUCAUCAAAGAUACUUGGAAGGCAAACAAGCACAUGAAAAAAUAAUAUCAAAACCAUUACAGGAGCUGGGUACAGUGGCCCACACCUGUACUCCCAAUGAUCUGGUAGGCUAAGGCAAGAAGAUCUCAAGUUCAAAACCAGACUGGGCAAUACCAUGUCAAGAAAGAAAGAAAGAAAAGAAAAAAGAAGAAAGGAAGGAAGGAAGGAAAGAAAAGGACAAGGGAUAUAGCUUGGUGGUAGGACACUUGCCUAGAAUGUGCAGGACUCGGGGUUUAAUCCCCAGCAAAGCAAAGCACAAAAGCAAACAACAACAAAAAUUAGAAAAAUAUAAAUGAAGGUCGCAAUGAGACAGCACUACUUACAUAAUACAAUGACUAAAUAACACAUGGUGACAAUAGCAAGUGCAAGAAUGUGGAACUAUCAAACUUCUCAUAUAUUCCUGUUGGAAAAUUGAACAGGCACUGUGGAAAAUAGUUAAGCAACAUAAAAUUGAUUCUCACCAUUGGACCCAAAAUUCAAACUCUUCAUAAUCAUCUUAGAGAAAUGAAAUUUGUGCUUACACAAAUGCUUGGUACCAGAAUGUUUGCAGCAUCUUUAUUUAUAAUAGCAAAAAAAUCUGACAAAAACCCUAAUGUCCAUCAGUGGGCAAGUAGAAGAGUAAACUGUUGUAUAUCUAUAUGAAAUAUAUUACCCACCAGCAAAAAGAACAACCAGAAUGGGACUGAGGAUAAUUUGCUUAAGGUUAUAUAAUCAAAUCUCAAAAGGUACAUGAUGUGUGCUUCCAUUUGCAUAACAUUGUACAAAUGAAAAAAUUACAUAUAUUAACAAAUCCUAUUGCCAGGAGUGAGGUGGGGAGCCAAGCAGGAUGGCAUCCCUAUAAAGCCAACUACUCAGGACACCAAAUUGGCUAGAUUACAAAUAUUGAGGCCCAACCUGGGCAACUUAGCAAAAACAUGUCCCAAAAUCAAGUAAAAAUGGUUGGGAUAGCUUAGUGGUAUUGCACUUGACUAGUAUGUGUGAGGCCCUGGGUUUGGUCCUCAAUACCUUCACCCCACCACACCCCAAAAUUUAAAAAGUUGGGAAAGUAUGCAACAAUAAAAAUGCAUGUAGGAAUUUGUUGAUGUGACUUUAUGUUCUUGAUUGUUGUUGUUACAUAUCAUAAAAUGUCCCUAAACUUAAAAACUAAACAUUAAAACUGGUGAUCAAAUAAAUUCUAUUAGUCAACAGUAUGGCAAUAAUUUCCUGUAAUUGAUAAUGAACAGUGGUUAUAUAAGAUGUUAUCUUUGGGAGAAGCUGGUUAAGGGCCUUUAGAAACUCUUUAUUUGGGUAAGAUUUCUGUGAAUCUAAAUUUAUUAUUUCUGAAUAAAACUUAUAAAAGUU